UGAACGCUGGCGGCAUGCCUUACACUUGCAAGUCGAACGGCAGCACGGGAGCAAUCCUGGUGGCGAGGGCGAACGGGUGAGUAAUACAUCGGAACGUGUCCUGUAGUGGGGGAUAGCCCGGCGAAAGCCGGAUUAAUACCGCAUACGCUCUACGGAGGAAAGGGGGGGAUCUUAGGACCUCUCGUUAUAGGGGCGGCCGAUGGCAGAUUAGCUAGUUGGUGGGGUAAAGGCCUACCAAGGCGACGAUCUGUAGCUGGUCUGAGAGGACGACCAGCCACACUGGGACUGAGACACGGCCCAGACUCCUACGGGAGGCAGCAGUGGGGAAUUUUGGACAAUGGGCGCAAGCCUGAUCCAGCAAUGCCGCGUGUGUGAAGAAGGCCUUCGGGUUGUAAAGCACUUUUGUCCGGAAAGAAAACCUCUGCCCUAAUAUGGUGGGGGGAUGACGGUACCGGAAGAAUAAGCACCGGCUAACUACGUGCCAGCAGCCGCGGUAAUACGUAGGGUGCAAGCGUUAAUCGGAAUUACUGGGCGUAAAGCGUGCGCAGGCGGUUCGCUAAGACAGAUGUGAAAUCCCCGGGCUUAACCUGGGAACUGCAUUUGUGACUGGCGGGCUAGAGUAUGGCAGAGGGGGGUAGAAUUCCACGUGUAGCAGUGAAAUGCGUAGAGAUGUGGAGGAAUACCGAUGGCGAAGGCAGCCCCCUGGGCCAAUACUGACGCUCAUGCACGAAAGCGUGGGGAGCAAACAGGAUUAGAUACCCUGGUAGUCCACGCCCUAAACGAUGUCAACUGGUUGUCGGGCCUUCAUUGGCUUGGUAACGUAGCUAACGCGUGAAGUUGACCGCCUGGGGAGUACGGUCGCAAGAUUAAAACUCAAAGGAAUUGACGGGGACCCGCACAAGCGGUGGAUGAUGUGGAUUAAUUCGAUGCAACGCGAAAAACCUUACCUACCCUUGACAUGGUCAGGACCCUGCUGAGAGGCGGGGGUGCCCGAAAGGGAACUGAUACACAGGUGCUGCA
rnacentral:rRNA from 1 species